rnacentral:tRNA from 1 species
GAGAUUGUAAUUCAGUGGUAGAGUGCUUGCCUAGCAAGUGGUAGGCCCUGGGUUUCAUGCCCAGCACUGUCA